rnacentral:rRNA from 1 species
GACGAACGCUGGCGGCGUGCCUAAUACAUGCAAGUCGAACGAACUCUGGUAUUGAUUGGUGCUUGCAUCAUGAUUUACAUUUGAGUGAGUGGCGAACUGGUGAGUAACACGUGGGAAACCUGCCCAGAAGCGGGGGAUAACACCUGGAAACAGAUGCUAAUACCGCAUAACAACUUGGACCGCAUGGUCCGAGUUUGAAAGAUGGCUUCGGCUAUCACUUUUGGAUGGUCCCGCGGCGUAUUAGCUAGAUGGUGGGGUAACGGCUCACCAUGGCAAUGAUACGUAGCCGACCUGAGAGGGUAACCGGCCACAUUGGGACUGAGACACGGCCCAAACUCCUACGGGAGGCAGCAGUAGGGAAUCUUCCACAAUGGACGAAAGUCUGAUGGAGCAACGCCGCGUGAGUGAAGAAGGGUUUCGGCUCGUAAAACUCUGUUGUUAAAGAAGAACAUAUCUGAGAGUAACUGUUCAGGUAUUGACGGUAUUUAACCAGAAAGCCACGGCUAACUACGUGCCAGCAGCCGCGGUAAUACGUAGGUGGCAAGCGUUGUCCGGAUUUAUUGGGCGUAAAGCGAGCGCAGGCGGUUUUUUAAGUCUGAUGUGAAAGCCUUCGGCUCAACCGAAGAAGUGCAUCGGAAACUGGGAAACUUGAGUGCAGAAGAGGACAGUGGAACUCCAUGUGUAGCGGUGAAAUGCGUAGAUAUAUGGAAGAACACCAGUGGCGAAAGCGGCUGUCUGGUCUGUAACUGACGCUGAGGCUCGAAAGUAUGGGUAGCAAACAGGAUUAGAUACCCUGGUAGUCCAUACCGUAAACGAUGAAUGCUAAGUGUUGGAGGGUUUCCGCCCUUCAGUGCUGCAGCUAACGCAUUAAGCAUUCCGCCUGGGGAGUACGGCCGCAAGGCUGAAACUCAAAGGAAUUGACGGGGGCCCGCACAAGCGGUGGAGCAUGUGGUUUAAUUCGAAGCUACGCGAAGAACCUUACCAGGUCUUGACAUACUAUGCAAAUCUAAGAGAUUAGACGUUCCCUUCGGGGACAUGGAUACAGGUGGUGCAUGGUUGUCGUCAGCUCGUGUCGUGAGAUGUUGGGUUAAGUCCCGCAACGAGCGCAACCCUUAUUAUCAGUUGCCAGCAUUAAGUUGGGCACUCUGGUGAGACUGCCGGUGACAAACCGGAGGAAGGUGGGGAUGACGUCAAAUCAUCAUGCCCCUUAUGACCUGGGCUACACACGUGCUACAAUGGAUGGUACAACGAGUUGCGAACUCGCGAGAGUAAGCUAAUCUCUUAAAGCCAUUCUCAGUUCGGAUUGUAGGCUGCAACUCGCCUACAUGAAGUCGGAAUCGCUAGUAAUCGCGGAUCAGCAUGCCGCGGUGAAUACGUUCCCGGGCCUUGUACACACCGCCCGUCACACCAUGAGAGUUUGUAACACCCAAAGUCGGUGGGGUAACCUUUUAGGAACCAGCCGCCUAAGGUGGGACAGAUGAUUAGGGUG